rnacentral:lncRNA from 1 species
CUGAAAAAUGUUUAUUUUUAAUUAAAAUAGGUCAAACUUAGGUGCUACAAAUUAUGACACUUAAACAAAAAACACAUCGUCUACUCCUUCCACAGUAGAAUUCGCAGGUGCAACGUAUCCAUCAUUGAUGUAGUCGUCGGUGUCAUCAUCUUCUUCUUCAUCUGCUAAGCCAAUAGUUCCUGGUUCAGUUACGGAUUCAGCAAGUGCCUUUUGAAUAACAGAAGAGUCACCAGUGACACCUUCAAUGCAUGACUUAGUCCAAUUUGUCAACUCUUCAUGUCUACCCGAAUCGAUCAUAUCUCCCACUCCG